UGGGAAAAAACACACAAACUGGAAUGUAACAAGACCUAACCAGUAACAAGACCUCGACCAGGACACAAACUCAACACUAGGGACUCUGAAACUGAAAUAUGCAAAGGCUAUGGCGCGGAUGGGUUGUAGGACAUGAAAACAAUAUGGCAAUAGACUUAUGGGACGCACACAAGGACACUUCAAACUAAGGGUAGAUGUGAACCUAACGAUAUGUCUGAAGCUUUGAUUACCACUUCAGGAGAACAAGUGUGGCCCGAUCUUCCGAAACUUUCUGGUAACUAUCGAUUUGGUGGAAACGAGAGACAUAUAAAUCCAGCUUGCGAACAACACAAUUCGAAACCCUGCAAUUCUUUUUAUUUUUUUUGAUAUUUUUCUUUUACUAAGGAGCACUCAAGAAGUAACCACAGGAAAUUUGAGCUUAAACAAGUGAAAGACGUGGCCUGUUGAAUUUUUUGAAGAUUGUGAAAAAUAUGAAAAAAAUUUAGGAGGUGAAAACUCAAACUUCAGAGGCGAAUUUGGGGAUUCUAAAAUUGUCGAACCCGCCGUUGGCGGGAUAGACAGAUCCAAAAAAAUUUUCUGAUCGAUUUUGAUAUAUGGAACGUCAAAAUUGGAGUUCGUAUGCGAAAGUUAUGGCUGUUUUACGAACGGACUCCGAAUUAGAGGACAAAACGGUCCGGAAGUGGGAAAAAUUUGCGAUGGUGGCUAGAAAUUGAUGGAAAUAGUGGGAAAAAACAGACAAACUGGACUGUAACAAGACCUAACCAGUAACAAGACCUCGACCAGGACACAAACUCAACACUACGGACUCUGAAACUGAAAUAUGCAAAGGCUAUGGCGCGGAUGGGUUGUAGGACAUGAAAACAAUAUGGCACUAGACUUAUGCGACGAACACAAGCACACUUGAAACUAAGGGUAGAUGUGAACCUAACGGCAUGUCUGAAGCAUUGAUUACCACUUGAGGAGAACAAGUGUGGCCUGAUAUUCCGAAAGUUUCUGGUAACUAUCGAUUUGGUGGAAACGAGAGACAUAUCAAUCCAGUUUGCGAACAACACAAUUUGAAACCCUACAAUUCUUUUUUUUCAUAUUUUUCUUUUACUUAGGAGCAAUCAAGAAGUAACCACAAGAAAUUUGAGCUUAAACAAGUGAAAGACGUGGCCUGUGGAAAUUUUUGAAGAUUGUGAAAAAUAUGAAAAAAAACUUUAGGAGGUGAAAACUCAAACUUCAGAGGCAAAUUUGGGGAUUCUAAAAUUGUCGAACCCGCCGUUGGCGAGGAUAGACAGAUACAAAAAUUGUUUCUGAUCGAUUUGAUUUUGAUAUAUAGAAUGUCAAAAUUGGAGUUCGUAUGCGAAAGUUAUGGCUGUUUUACGAACGGACUCUGAAUUAGAGGACAAAACGGUCCGGAAGUGGGAAAAAAUUGCGGUGGUGGCUAGAAAUUGAUGGAAACAGUGGGAAAAAACACACAAACUGGAAUGUAACAAGACCUAACCAGUAACAAGACCUUGACCAGGACACAAACUCAACACUAGGGACUCUGAAACUGAAAUAUGCAAAGGCUAUGGCGCGGAUGGGUUGUAGGACAUGAAAACAAUAUGGCAAUAGACUUAUGGGACGAACACAAGGACACUUCAAACUAAGGGUAGAUGUGCACCUAACGAUAUGUCUGAAGCUUUGAUUACCACUUCAGGAGAACAAGUGUGGCCCGAUCUUCCGAAAGUUUCUGGUAACUAUCGAUUUGGUGGAAACGAGAGACAUAUCAAUCCAGCUUGCGAACAACACAAUUCGAAACCCUGCAAUUCUUUUUAUUUUUUUUGAUAUUUUUCUUUUACUAAGGAGCACUCAAGAAGUAACCACAGGAAAUUUGAGCUUAAACAAGUGAAACACGUGGCCUGUGGAAUUUUUUGAAGAUUGUGAAAAAUAUGAAAAAAAUUUAGGAGGUGAAAACUCAAACUUCAGAGGCGAAUUGGGGAUUCUAAAAUUGUCGAACCCACCGUUGGCGGGAUAGACAGAUCCAAAAAAAUUUUCUGAUCGAUUUUGAUAUAUGGAACGUCAAAAUUGGAGUUCGUAUGCGAAAGUUAUGGCUGUUUUACGAACGGACUCCGAAUUAGAGGACAAAACGGUCCGGAAGUGGGAAAAAUUUGCGAUGGUGGCUAGAAAUUGAUGGAAAUAGUGGGAAAAAACAGACAAACUGGACUGUAACAAGACCUAACCAGUAACAAGACCUCGACCAGGACACAAACUCAACACUACGGACUCUGAAACAGAAAUAUGCAAAGGCUAUGGCGCGGAUGGGUUGUAGGACAUGAAAACAAUAUGGCACUAGACUUAUGCGACGAACACAAGCACACUUGAAACUAAGGGUAGAUGUGAACCUAACGGCAUGUCUGAAGCAUUGAUUAUCACUUGAGGAGAACAAGUGUGGCCCGAUAUUCCGAAAGUUUCUGGUAACUAUCGAUUUGGUGAAAACGAGAGACAUAUCAAUCCAGUUUGCGAACAACACAAUUCGAAACCCUACAAUUCUUUUUUUUUGAUAUUUUUCUUUUACUUAGGAGCACUCAAGAAGUAACCACAGGAAAUUUGAGCUUAAACAAGUGAAAGACGUGGUCUGUGGAAAUUUUUGAAGAUUGUGAAAAAUAUGAAAAAAAACUUUAGGAGGUGAAAACUCAAACUUCAGAGGCAAAUUUGGGGAUUCUAAAAUUGUCGAACCCGCCGUUGGCGGGGAUAGACAGAUACAAAAAUUGUUUCUGAUCGAUUUGAUUUUGAUAUAUAGAAUGUCAAAAUUGGAGUUCGUAUGCGAAAGUUAUGGCUGUUUUACGAACGGACUCUGAAUUAGAGGACAAAACGGUCCGGAAGUGGGAAAAAAUUGCGGUGGUGGCUAGAAAUUGAUGGAAACAGUGGGAAAAAACACACAAACUGGAAUGUAACAAGACCUAACCAGUAACAAGACCUUGACCAGGACACAAACUCAACACUAGGGACUCUGAAACUGAAAUAUGCAAAGGCUAUGGCGCGGAUAGGUUGUAGGACAUGAAAACAAUAUGGCAAUAGACUUAUGGGACGAACACAAGGACACUUCAAACUAAGGGUAGAUGUGCACCUAACGAUAUGUCUGAAGCUUUGAUUACCACUUCAGGAGAACAAGUGUGGCCCGAUCUUCCGAAAGUUUCUGGUAACUAUCGAUUUGGUGGAAACGAGAGACAUAUUAAUCCAGCUUGCGAACAACACAAUUCGAAACCCUGCAAUUCUUUUUAUUUUUUUUGAUAUUUUUCUUUUACUAAGGAGCACUCAAGAAGUAACCACAGGAAAUUUGAGCUUAAACAAGUGAAAGACGUGGCCUGUGGAAUUUUUUGAAGAUUGUGAAAAAUAUGAAAAAAAUUUAGGAGGUGAAAACUCAAACUUCAGAGGCGAAUUGGGGAUUCUAAAAUUGUCGAACCCGCCGUUGGCGGGAUAGACAGAUCCAAAAAAAUUUUCUGAUCGAUUUUGAUAUAUGGAACGUCAAAAUUGGAGUUCGUAUGCGAAAGUUAUGGCUGUUUUACGAACGGACUCCGAAUUAGAGAACAAAACGGUCCGGAAGUGGGAAAAAUUUGCGAUGGUGGCUAGAAAUUGAUGGAAAUAGUGGGAAAAAACAGACAAACUGGACUGUAACAAGACCUAACCAGUAACAAGACCUCGACCAGGACACAAACUCAACACUACGGACUCUGAAACAGAAAUAUGCAAAGGCUAUGGCGCGGAUGGGUUGUAGGACAUGAAAACAAUAUGGCACUAGACUUAUGUGACGAACACAAGGACACUUGAAACUAAGGGUAGAUGUGAACCUAACGGCAUGUCUGAAGCAUUGAUUACCACUUGAGGAGAACAAGUGUGGCCCGAUAUUCCGAAAGUUUCUGGUAACUAUCGAUUUGUUGGAAACGAGAGACAUAUCAAUCCAGUUUGCGAACAACACAAUUCGAAACCCUACAAUUCUUUUUUUUUGAUAUUUUUCUUUUACUUAGGAGCACUCAAGAAGUAACCACAGGAAAUUUGAGCUUAAACAAGUGAAAGACGUGGCCUGUGGAAAUUUUUGAAGAUUGUGAAAAAUAUGAAAAAAAACUUUAGGAGGUGAAAACUCAAACUUCAGAGGCAAAUUUGGGGAUUCUAAAAUUGUCGAACCCGCCGUUGGCGGGGAUAGACAGAUCCAAAAAUUGUUUCUGAUCGAUUGGAUUUUGAUAUAUAGAACGUCAAAAUUGGAGUUCGUAUGCGAUAGUUAUGGCUGUUUGACGAACGGACUCUGAAUUAGAGGACAACGGUCCGCAAGUGGGAAAAAAUUGCGGUGGUGGCUAGAAAUUGAUGGAAACAGUGGGAAAAAACACACAAACUGGAAUGUAACAAGACCUAACCAGUAACAAGACCUCGACCAGGACACAAACUCAACACUAGGGACUCUGAAACUGAAAUAUGCAAAGGCUAUGGCGCGGAUGGGUUGUAGGACAUGAAAACAAUAUGGCAAUAGACUUAUGGGACGAACACAAGGACACUUCAAACUAAGGGUAGAUGUGAACCUAACGAUAUGUCUAAAGCUUUGAUUACCACUUCAGGAGAACAAGUGUGGCCCGAUCUUCCGAAACUUUCUGGUAACUAUCGAUUUGGUGGAAACGAGAGACAUAUCAAUCCAGCUUGCGAACAACACAAUUCGAAACCCUGCAAUUCUUUUUAUUUUUUUUUGAUAUUUUCCUUUUACUAAGGAGCACUCAAGAAGUAACCACAAGAAAUUUGAGCUUAAACAAGUGAAAGACGUGGCCUGUGGAAUUUUUUGAAGAUUGUGAAAAAUAUGAAAAAAAUUUAGGAGGUGAAAACUCAAACUUCAGAGGUGAAUUUGGGGAUUCUAAAAUUGUCGAACCCGCCGUUGGCGGGAUAGACAGAUCCAAAAAAAUUUUCUGAUCGAUUUUGAUAUAUGGAACGUCAAAAUUGGAGUUCGUAUGCGAAAGUUAUGGCUGUUUUACGAACGGACUCCGAAUUAGAGGACAAAACGGUCUGGAAGUGGGAAAAAUUUGCGAUGGUGGCUAGAAAUUGAUGGAAAUAGUGGGAAAAAACAGACAAACUGGACUGUAACAAGACCUAACCAGUAACAAGACCUCGACCAGGACACAAACUCAACACUACGGACUUUGAAACUGAAAUAUGCAAAGGCUAUGGCGCGGAUGGGUUGUAGGACAUGAAAACAAUAUGGCACUAGACUUAUGCGACGAAUGUUGACGGUCCUUAAUGCUCACAUUUAACCAUCAACUAAUCAUAGAAAAGGAUCCAAAUUGCAACCAACACCUAGACUUAGGGUUUUAUCUGACAGAAUUCCACGAGUUUUGGUGUUAGUCUAUUUCUGCAGGGGGUUAUCAGGAAAUACGGAAGAAAGGCCCACACGUCGGGUUUACAUAGAGAUAUUAACGUGCCGCGCAAUUUUCUAUCAUCUAGAAGACUCCAGAAGCCACGGGAACGAACGGGAAGGAAAUCGGGCUCGGAGGCAGGGCGCCCGCUCAAUUCUCCUAGGCGCCCGCCCAGCUACAGUGCCCAAUCAGGACUCUCUUUCGGGACAACGCUCCACCGACCUAAAGGAUCAAGGAAAACCGUGCGAUUAAUGUCGGUUUGAUCCAACGGCCCAUAUUCACUUGAAGGGACUAUAAAACCAGACCCCCUGGCCCCUGGAAAUCAUACCUCUUCUACAGAAUCAAAGCUAGGGUUUCAAUUCUUCAUCCAAGUAGAGAGGAUCCCUCUAGUUCUUCUAGUUCUACCUCUAGUUCAUCUAGAUCUAGUUCUAGUUCAUCUAGUUCUAGUUCUAGUUCCUCUAGUUCUAGUUCUAGUUAGUUCUAGUUGUAAUCUAGAAAAUAGGGAGAGAGAAGAGGAGAGCGGAGGAGGAGCCGGAUCUGUCGGAUCUUCCUCAACAUUAUACUUUUGCAGCAUCUGGUUCGUUCUUCAUCAUUCUCCAGGUUCUUCAAUUCAUAAUUCCUGAGUUCUUUAAUUACUUUUAUUUACAUUCAAGUUAUUUAUUGGAUUCUCGCUUGCAUCAAGUGCUCUAGUCUUUAUAACGCUAGAGUAGUAAUUAAUAGAUUAGACGUGGUGUUUAGUCUUGCAAUUACCUGAAAUUGCACCCAAUCCUGCGGAUUGUUGUGGUAGCCUUAGGGUAGUGACAGCCCUAACGGUCGACGUAUUCCACCACGUUCGGAUCGGUGUUUGUAGGAUCGUAGUCAGACCUUCCUAGCCCCCUUCUCAUCUCUUUCUGUGGUUAGUGCUCUGAUGUCCCGAUAUAGAUAAUCUUGAAGUAAUUCUUGAUUCUUAGAUCAACUAGAGAACUCUCAGGAAACUUCCUCUCUUCCCACCAAAAAUAAUGAUAUAGUUAUCCUUGGGCGAUCUUGGAUCUUAAUUAGUACACUCACGUUCCCUGUGGAAAAUCGAUACUCUGGAAUACUCCCGGGUGAAAGCUACAUCGGUAUCCGUGCGCUUGCAGAUUUUUCUGUUUGUGUUUAAAAUACCCAACAAGCUUUCUGGCGCCGUUGCCGGGGAACGGUAGCUGUGCUAGUUUCGACCCAAGUCGUCCGUGUAUCCUUUUUGCUUUUCCUUUUUUACCACACUCACCUUAUCAUUUUCACCGUACCACGUGGAUUUCACUCUAAGCAUUAAUAAGCAUGGAAUUUAUUUCAUAGCCACUUCAUUUACUCCAUGCUCAUAUGCAACAUCUUCACAAUCCAUUGGUCUCUCCAACAUCACCACAUUCGAGAUCUCCAACCCCCUAUUCCUUUCUAUUCAUAAAAACUUUAAAAGGGCGGUUGUCGAUGCAUAUGUCUAUAAUAAAUUUUGCAGAUCUCGUUGAGUUGAUCUUGAUAUAGGUCAGCGUUGGAGGGGAAACCACUUCACUGACAUAAAUUGAUGGUUUCCCAAGGACAAGCUUAGUGUCCUAAAAUAAAGCACUGAUUAGAUCGUAACAUGAGCUUUUAAUUAUUUGCAACAUUAACUUGUGUAUUGAGCAUAUAAGGAUAAUUGUAAAAAAAUUCCUUUGGGUAUUCUUGUCACUAACCUUUCCAGGAUUGGAGCAAGAAGAUCGGAUGAAUGACAAGCACAAGGUAUGUACAACCAAUCAUCAUACAACAUUGAAUUAAAUUCAUCCAAACUUGAAUUUUGCAAAAUUCAAGCUUGGGGGAGUACUUUACAUAAAAACAUCCUUUGCCAUGUUGCUAUGUUGGUUGUCCCUACCUUUGAGACAUGCUCAAUUUGUUAAAUACUAAUCACACUACCUCAUCUCCACUUGAGUAGAUCUCUAUAAAUGCUUUCAUACCACCUUUAUUUACUUUAGUAUAUGUCUAGGUUUGGAGUAGUUUCAUUUAUCUCUUAAUUAAGCAUGGUGCUUAGUUUAGGGCUGAUGAUCUUACUUCCAAGGGAGUUUAAAUUAAGCAUGAUGCUUAGGUUAAAAUGCCCUCCUAAAUCAAAUUAGACAUGGUGUCUAGGUUGAUCUUUGAGCCGAUAAUAUGCUAUAGUAGAUAUUGGAUAUUGUGUUGGACUAACCCCUGCAGGAAAACUUUCAAUAUCGACCUGGGAAGUCCUGAGAUAAACUCACAUUGAGACAAAGAGAGAGACACAUGAAGUUUAACAAUUUACACAAGGAAUGCAUAGCUCACAAGAGAUGAUCCAUGGAGGGUGCCACAAACAUGAUGCACAACCGCUAAGAAAGGAAAGCUUACACAAGGUGAUACUAUACCAUCACUCUUCAACUAAGGUAAUAUCUUAAGGUACUUGACUAUCACUUUUAUAAGUUUCUCCUUAGAUCUGGCGUUCACAUGAAUAAAAGAGACAAACAUGUAUGAUCUACAACUCUAGAUUAACCAACCCAAUCGAUUCAACAUGUUUAGUCCUUCCACCUUUGUGAUUCCACACUCCUAAUCAUAUUAGCUAAAAUGUUGCACACUCAAUCUUUGGAAGAUAUAAACAAAACAUAUAUAUAGAUAGAUUAUCUUUCCAUAAGGUUGAGCAAUCUAAUCUAAUAAAUGUUUUAAAUGUUAUACUCAUGAUCUUAUUAUCCAUCAACUUUGUCUUGCUCACUAUGCUUAAGGUUAGAGAAGAACAAAUACACUUUUGGUUCUAUUGGUGUUUUCCACCAACAGGGCCCAUGCACUUGAUCUCUGCCUUGUCUCUAUGAGCAGGUACACUUCGAGCAAAAUAUGAAGGACUUUUACAACUCCCUGACUCCACCAAGUGAAGAACAUAGAUCUACGAGUACAAACACACUGGAGAUACUGGACACUCAGGCAAUCACUGCCCUAGGAUGCUUGAGGACGUAACUAAUGGAGUAACCCCGUUGUGGAAGUAGUUACUGACCUUCUGCCGGUCAAGAGAGACAAUCCAGGACGCCCCGUCAUCCCGAUCUCCAUCGGCAUGGUGGACUUCCCAGAAGCACUCUGCGACUUUGGCUUCAGCGUCAACAUUAUGCCCAGGAACCUCUACGUCUGAGUUGGUACCUUAUACGCUCCAGCAGACUUCGUGGUGAUAGAGACUGAUACUGAUGAGAGGGCACCCAUCAUCUUAGGGAGGCCAUUCCUGAACACCUCGGGAGCUGUCAUCUACGCUAGUGCUGCCAAGAUUAGUCUCUACAUCAAGGGGAGGAAGGAGACGUUUUCCUUCAAGAACAAGACUACACAAAUCUCAGAGCAAUCCCGACAUGAACCAAGGAAGAGGACCAACAGGAGGAACAGGAACAAGCAAAUGUGUACCGAGUCAGCUAAGAUGGUCACUGCAGCUCAAGGAGGUCAAGAUCGUCGACUCAAGUCACCUAUCUUGAUCAAGAAGGACGACCCUGGUGUUCCAAGCAUCGAGUGCACAAUCAACGGAUAUUCUUUUCAGAAGACACUCUACAACACCGGAUCUAACGUUAACAUAAUGGCCGCAGUCACUUAUCAGCUCCUGCAUGGAACCAUGUCCCUACAACCAACAUACAUUCAGCUCUAGAUGAUUUUAAGGUUAUUGACAUGGGAGAAGACAAGUAUGAUCCUCCAUCAUCCUUAGGAGACCGUUCCUCAGCACCGUUAAAGCAAUCAUCUACAUUGGAACCGGAGAAGUCCACAUUCACUUCUCCUCAGAGAAGGUACGCCACUGUUUUACUGACCCUAACUAUAUAGUUGAAGACUCUAAGCAGGUCAGGACAAGAAGACGACGACGCAACCGCAACCAGAGGAGGCAAAUCAUCAAGGACGGAUGGGUAGACUAUGAAGGAGAAGUUGUAAGGUCUGAAGAUAUACAACUUGAACAGAACUGUCCUGAGGAGACCGUAGCAUCGAGUCAGGUGUGGAGAAAAAAGAUAGUUAUACAUGAAGAGCAGGCUCCACCAGAACCACCGACUACGCCAUCCAGCGAAUCCCAGGACUACUGAGAAAAUGGAGAGUCCCGUUCGGAGGACUUAAAAACACCGAACGCCUUGCCAAGAGGUAAACUUGGUAGUUAUCUUUUUCCUUUCAAUUAUUUAAAAUAGUUUUCUUAGUUAAUCAGGUUCACAUCAUCUUGAAAAGAAAAUAAAAAUGUUAAAAAUAGUAAGCCCCAUGUGAGUAUGCUCAUGGCAUAAAACCCAUAAGUACAUUCACUGUGGUGGCGUAAAAAUGAAAUAAAUAUAUUCCUGUCCUAUAAAAAUAAAAAUAUAAAAAUAAAUUUAUGAUCCUACUAAAGAGAGUAAUAUUUAUUGAGGAGGCUCAACAUGAUAAAGGCUAGAUAUUUAUGCUAACACUUAACCAGUUCCACAAAGCAUUGUUGUCUAUUUGAGCUCCACAGAAUUCAAGGAUCAAAGAAGACUAGCAGACGGAGGACAUCCUAAUCACUGUCAGGGUGCUGCCGACAUUCAAAUAUACCUCCGCCACCUGCUAGCUACAUCAGGAGAAACUACGUCAAAAUCCAGCUUGGGGGAGAGCACCCCCAUUUAUCCAGCUAAGUGUUUCUACUCGCAUUAUACUUUACUCAAAUAAUAAAAAGAUGCAUAAUCAUGAAAAUCCAAAUAAAAAUUUUGUGCCUAUAUAUAUCUUUGCUUAGUUUGCUAAAUAAAUAAAUAAAUAAAGAUCGCUAUGAACCCUCAUGAUAAGCUCUCACAUGGAAAUAAUGAAUAGUUGCUCUGCCAUGACUAAUUCUCAAAAUUGAAAUCUCUCUCAAGUUUAGGCAUGACUGUUAUUAAUUAAGAUUUGCUCUAAACCUGAACUUGUGGGAAGAGUACUUGAUCUAAAGUCUAAGUCGUUAACGGAUAUGAUAUGGGAAGGUUGAGCUGCUGUUUAUCUGUUCCUAGAGAUGCUAGAAUUCUGGAGAAUUUUAUCUUUAAAAAUAUUUAAAAUGUUGCAUGAUGAGUUCCUGUAUGAUGAGAGUUUAAAUUCCUACCACAGCCAUAUAUACAUGCUUGUUAGACUAUGAACCACAAAUUUACUUUUUACUGCUUAUGAGCAUUGAGUGUGGUCAAGCUGUGUAGACCCUUAGGAGCUUGUCAUGUGGUUAAAAUCAAGAUUCACUUGCACGUUCACUCAUACAUGCUGCUUCUACUCCGGAAGUACGCAUCCACAUAUAUCCAUCAAUUUCCAUCUCCAGAACCACCCAAAAAUAUUCUUCUCCUAAUCUGGGAGAGAAUAGCCAAAAACAUUCUCCUAUUUCUGUUUUUCCCUGUGAAAUAAAUGCUCAAGUUAUCUUGGUUACUACCACUUGCUAUAUUAUCUCAUGAGAUGAGUGCUCUAAAAAAAAGAGAAAAAAAAGAGAUAUGAGGAAAUAAAAAGGGGCAAGUGCCCGAAACCUCGAAAGAAAAGAAAAAGUGAGAUGAGAGGUAAAAAUGGACAAGUGUCCGACAGUAGAAUUAGGGGUACAAGAUACUCACCUGAGAGAAAAGAAAAAAAAAGAAAAAAAAAGAAAAUAUAGAGCAUCUCAUUCUCCUCAAAAAGUUUCAAAACAGCAAGAAAGGUAUGUAUCCCCUCAAAAGAGCACAAGUAGAAUUAGACUUUCACCAUUGUUAUCACCAUCAUCACCAUACACCAUUCAUUCGCCACACAUGCACAUCUUGAUUUGACUUAUUGACUUGAUCUUCUGGAUCCAUGGUUUGACUAUGCAAUAAAUGUCUUGUAAGUAUGUAUUAGCUGUCUCCCACCUAUGAGCUCCAGAUAUCAAAAGAAAGCCUUAUUAGAGUAGGGUGAGAGAGAAGGCAAUGUCACUAUGCCUUAUACUAAAAAUACCACAUACCUUGAGAGAAGGCAUAUACCAUUACUGCCUUGGUAAGGAUCCAAAAAUACCACAAAAGAGAGACUAGAGAGAGUCAUACAAGGAAUCUCUGAGUUUUAUUUGAAAAUCUGCAAAAACUCCAGAGCUAUUGUUGAUCAAGAACAUUAGACAUGGUGCUUGACUAGACCGUUCUAUCUUUUAACUGCUGAAGACACAAGUGACGGUUACAAGCCCCAUGGUGAAAGGUAAAUGAGUAAGUUUUAAGUCUUAACAAUUUACCCUAACCUAGAGAUGAGUUCUUGUUUAAACGCAUGUGUAUCUUUAAGUUAUGAAACCACUGCAGAAACUCUUGAGUUCAUCUUUGCUCAGGGACGAGCAAAGGUUAAGCUUGGGGGAGCUUGUUGACGGUCCUUAAUGCUCACAUUUAACCAUCAACUAAUCAUAGAAAAUGAUCCAAAUUGCAACCAACACCUAGACUUAGGGUUUUAUCUAACAGAAUUCCACGAGUUUUGGUGUUUGUCUAUUUCUGCAGGGGGUUAUCAGGAAAUACGGAAGAGAGGCCCACACGUCGGGUUUACAUAGAGAUAUUAACGUGCCGCGCAAUUUUCUAUCAUCUAGAAGACUCCAGAAGCCAUGGGAACGAACGGGAAGGAAAUCGGGCUCGGAGGCAGGGCGCCCGCCCAAUUCUCCUGGGCGCCCGCCCAGCUACAGUGCCCAAUCAGGACUCUCUUUCGGGACAACGCUCCACCGACCUAAAGGAUCAAGGAAAACCGUGCGAUUAAUGUCGGUUUGAUCCAACGGCCCAUAUUCACUUGAAGGGACUAUAAAACCAGACUCCCUGGCCCCUGGAAAUCAUACCUCUUCUACAGAAUCAAAGCUAGGGUUUCAAUUCUUCAUCCAAGUAGAGAGGAUCCCUCUAGUUCUUCUAGUUCUACCUCUAGUUCAUCUAGAUCUAGUUCUAGUUCAUCUAGUUCUAGUUCUAGUUCCUCUAGUUCUAGUUCUAGUUCUAGUUAGUUCUAGUUGUAAUCUAGAAAAUAGGGAGAGAGAAGAGAAGAGCGGAGGAGGAGCCGGAUCUGUCGGAUCUUCCUCAACAUUAUACUUUUGCAGCAUCUGGUUCGUUCUUCAUCAUUCUCCAGGUUCUUCAAUUCAUAAUUCCUGAGUUCUUUAAUUACUUUUAUUUACAUUCAAGUUAUUUAUUGGAUUCUCGCUUGCAUCAAGUGCUCUAGUCUUUAUAACGCUAGAGUAGUAAUUAAUAGAUUAGACGUGGUGUUUAGUCUUGCAAUUACCUGGAAUUGCACCCAAUCCUGCGGAUUGUUGUGGUAGCCUUAGGGUAGUGACAGCCCUAACGGUCGACGUAUUCCACCACGUUCGGAUCGGUGUUUGUAGGACCGUAGUCAGACCUUCCUAGCCCCCUUCUCAUCUCUUUCUGUGGUUAGUGCUCUGAUGUCCCGAUAUAGAUAAUCUUGAAGUAAUUCUUGAUUCUUAGAUCAACUAGAGAACUCUCAGGAAACUUCCUCUCUUCCCACCAAAAAUAAUGAUACAGUUAUCCUUGGGCGAUCUUGGAUCUUAAUUAGUACACUCACGUUCCCUGUGGAAAAUCGAUACUCUGGAAUACUCCCGGGUGAAAGCUACAUCGGUAUCCGUGCGCUUGCGGAUUUUUCUGUUUGUGUUUAAAAUACCCAACAACGAAUACAAGGACACUUGAAACUAAGGGUACAUGUGAACCUAACGGCAUGUCUAAAGCAUUGAUUACCACUUGAGGAGAACAAGUGUGGCCCGAUAUUCCGAAAGUUUCUGGUAACUAUCGAUUUGGUGGAAACGAGAGACAUAUCAAUCCAGUUUGCGAACAACACAAUUUGAAACCCUACAAUUCUUUUUUUUUGAUAUUUUUCUUUUACUUAGGAGCACUCAAGAAGUAACCACAGGAAAUUUGAGCUUAAACAAGUGAAAGACGUGGCCUGUGGAAAUUUUUGAAAAUUGUGAAAAAUAUGAAAAAAAACUUUAGGAGGUGAAAACUCAAACUUCAGAGGCAAAUUUGGGGAUUCUAAAAUUGUCGAACCCGCCGUUGGCGGGGAUAGACAGAUACAAAAAUUGUUUCUAAUCGAUUUGAUUUUGAUAUAUAGAACGUCAAAAUUGGAGUUCGUAUGCGAAAGUUAUGGCUGUUUUACGAACGGACUAUGAAUUAGAGGACAAAAUGGUCCGGAAGUGGGAAAAAAUUGCGGUGGUGGCUAGAAAUUGAUGGAAACAGUGGGAAAAAACACACAAACUGGAAUGUAACAAGACCUAACCAGUAACAAGACCUCGACCAGGACACAAACUCAACACUAGGGACUCUGAAACUGAAAUAUGCAAAAUCUAUGGCGCGGAUGGGUUGUAGGACAUGAAAACAAUAUGGCAAUAGACUUAUGGGACGAACACAAGGACACUUCAAACUAAGGGUAGAUGUGAACCUAACGAUAUGUCUGAAGCUUUGAUUACCACUUCAGGAGAACAAGUGUGGCCCGAUCUUCCGAAACUUUCUGGUAACUAUCGAUUUGGUGGAAACGAGAGACAUAUCAAUCCAGCUUGCGAACAACACAAUUCGAAACCCUGCAAUUCUUUUUAUUUUUUUGAUAUUUUUCUUUUACUAAGGAGCACUCAAGAAGUAACCACAGGAAAUUUGAGCUUAAACAAGUGAAAGACGUGGCUUGUGGAAUUUUUUGAAGAUUGUGAAAAAUUUGAAAAAAAUUUAGGAGGUGAAAACUCAAACUUCAGAGGCGAAUUUGGGGAUUCUAAAAUUGUCGAACCCGCCGUUGGCGGGAUAGACAGAUCUAAAAAAAAUUUCUGAUCGAUUUUGAUAUAUGGAACGUCAAAAUUGGAGUUCGUAUGCGAAAGUUAUGGCUGUUUUACGAACGGACUCUGAAUUAGAGGACAAAACGGUCCGGAAGUGGGAAAAAAUUGCGGUGGUGGCUA
rnacentral:lncRNA from 1 species